rnacentral:misc_RNA from 1 species
AGCAGCCGCGGUAAUUCCAGCUCCAAUAGCGUAUAUUAAAGUUGUUGCAGUUAAAAAGCUCGUAGUUGAAUUUCGGGGUUAGUAGGUUGGUCAUGCCUCUGGUAUGUACUGGUCUCACUGAUUCCUCCUUCCUGAUGAACCUUAAUGCCAUUAAUUUGGUGUUUUGGGGAAUUUGGACUGUUACUUUGAAAAAAUUAGAGUGUUUAAAGCAAGCUAACGCUUGAAUACAUUAGCAUGGAAUAAUGAAAUAGGACGUUCGAUCCUAUUUUGUUGGUUUCUAGGAUUGACGUAAUGAUUAAUAGGGAUAGUUGGGGGCAUUAGUAUUCAAUUGUCAGAGGUGAAAUUCUUGGAUUUAUUGAAGACUAACUACUGCGAAAGCAUUUGCCAAGGAUGUUUUCAUUAAUCAAGAACGAAAGUUAGGGGAUCGAAGACGAUCAGAUACCGUCGUAGUCUUAACCAUAAACUAUGCCGACUAGGGAUCGGAUGAUGUUAAUUUUUUAAAUGACUCAUUCGGCGCCUU